UAUAAAAAUAUAUAUUCGUUAAUGAUGUGGUAAAUUUAAAUUUAAUGCUAAUUACUACAUUAUUACACAAGUCCUAUAAAAGGCAACACACCAAAAGCUUCUCAGUCAAUUCUAAAAUAAUCAGCAGAAAUGAAACUCUUGGCGUUAGCAUUGAGUCUGUGCCUCAUCUGCAGCGUUUAUUCCGCACCGCAAGGCAGAUAUGAUCCACCGCCGAUCAACCCCGAUGAUAGAAUCUGGCCUCCACCUGACCUGAUCGAUCCCGAAUUUGGACGCGGGAGGUGAAUUCACUAAAAUAAUCUGCAGAAAUGAAACUCUUCGCGUUAGUAUUGGGUCUAUGCCUCAUCUGCAGCGUUUAUUCCGCACCGCAAGGCAGAUAUGAUCCACCGCCGAUCAACCCCGAUAAUAGAAUCUGGCCUCCACCUGACCUGAUCGAUCCCGAAUAUGGACCACCCUGGACGUGAAGUGAAGUUGCUUCAUAACUUAAAUUACGAAACUAAUUUGAUAAAAGAGCUGUUAUUUUGUAUACUUAAAGUGCGUAAUAAACAUACAUAUGUUAGUUUUGUAA